CUUCCUGAUUUGGCUCAAUGUUGUGCUUCUGCAAUCUGAAAAAAAUCCAACAAUGUAACCUUAAUAAUGACAGGUGCCAUUUAUUGAGCUCUGUGUGUCAAGCAUUGUGUUAAGUACUUUACAUGCAUAUUAUUUCAUUCAAUCUUUAUUAUAAUCCUACGAGGGUAGGUUCUAUUAUUAUUCCUAUUUUGUUUGAGUGAAAGAACUGAGGCUCUGAGAGGCUAGGUAACUUGCCUAAUGCCACACAGUAAGUAAAUGGUAGAGCCAGGCUGGAACUUCCAGUGUUCUGUGAUUCCAAAUCCUGUGCUCUUCCUUUGAGAGGAACCUGUCUACAUGAUUUCUGGGCUUAUUAGAAGCAUGGAAAGAAUAUGGAUUUGCUGACAGCUCUCAAGAAAAGUCUAGAACUUUGCACUCAUCCAUCAGUUUUUUCUCAGAUACAUCCUCUGAUAUCUCAAGCUUGAGUUCUAACCUCUGCAACAUGAGAAUUGAUGAGUGUCUUCGGAGUAAAGCCGAUGUUUACAUAAAAAUUCAUUUGGCUGAGGAUGCUUCACUUCCUUCAAAGGUCAGUUUCUCUCCAGUGUCUCUCUGCUUUUAGUUACUCUCCAGUACCUUCAAAUAGUUUUUAAAAAAAUUUUUAACAGAGUUCACAGUUAUUAUCUGUGAGAGGGUUAGUUGAAUACUAAAUGCUGCCUCUAGCAAUGGCUUUUAUUUAUUUUUUUAAACCACUUAUUGAGGUAUGAUUGACACAUAAAAAGCUGUACAUCUUUAACGUAUAUAACUUAAUGAGUUUGGAAAUAAGUAUACACCUGUGAAACCAUCACCACAAUCUGUGCCAUAAGCACAUCCAUCACCUCUAAAGGUUUCCUCCCACCGUCCUAAUUAUUAUUAUUAUCAACUAUUAUUAUUAUUAUUUGUGUGCGUGUGGUAAGAACACUUAAUGUAAGAUCUACCCUCUUAGCAAACUGUUAAGUAUACAAUCCGGUAUUAUUAACUCUAGGCACUGUGCAGUACAGUAGAUCUCUAGAACUUAUUCAUUUUGCAUAACUGAAACUUUGUACCCUUUGGCUAAUACCUCCUCAUUUCUCUUUCUCCCAAAAGUUAUUUUUAAUUACAUUUUUCUGAGUCUUACUAAUGUAUUGAAAAUACCUUUUAUAAUAAUUUUAAUUCCAACAAUGUUAUUAUAGUUUAUCUAGGAGUUUAUCAGUAGAUUCUUUGGGGUUCUGCAUAGACAAUACUGUCAUAUGUGAAAAAUUAAAUUUUAUUUCUUCCUUUUAAGUUUUUGUAACUUUCAAUAAUUUUAAUGAUUUUUAUUUAUUUAUUUAUUUUUUGAGGAAGAUUAGCCCUGAGCUAACAUCUGCCGCCAAUCCUCCUCUUUUUUGCUGAGGAAGACUGGCCCCCGGGCUAACAUCCAUUCCCAUCUUCCUCUACUUUAUAUGUGGGAAGGCUGCCACAGCAUGGCUUGACAGAUGAUGUGUAGGUCUGCGCACUGGAUCCAAACCAGCUAACCCUGGGCCACCAAAGCAGAACGAGCAAACUUAACUGCUACGCCACCAGGCCAGCCCCAAAAUGUUUGACCUUAACAUAUUGCUAAGAAU
rnacentral:lncRNA from 1 species